AGAGGGAGGAGACAAACGAACCGAGGCGGGAGCGGCCACGGGUGACAGCGGCAGCGGCGGGGCCGGGCUGCGCUCCCGAAGGCGUUCCUGGAGGGCCCUGGGAUGGACUCAGAGAUCCCCAGAGCCCCAGGGGACGGAAAAUCUAGCCCCGGGCACUUGCCUUGGAGUCUGAGUGAUGCGCGUCGUUGGAGCGCGAAGCCGGUCUCCCUAGCCUCCGCCCGACACAGCGUCUCCAGGGGUUUUCCUCCUUUUCGCGCCUCUCCUUCCCUCUUCCCCACACCAUUUGAGAGCCUCAAAUGGUAGUCCUGCCGCCACCUCUCUCCCUUCGCCAGCCUGCCAUCGUCCCCAUGGGUGCAGAUAUGCGCUCCCGAAGCCGCCUGCCUGCCGCGUCUCCCUCCUCGCCCCCGCACCUCCUGCUCCAAGUCUCCUGUCCUGGUUAUCCCAAGUUCAGGGCCCACCUGGGGUCACAUGGGGAACUACUUGUCUUAAGGCUGUAAACAAUAGUUGGAAGAGGAGUUGCUAGCUUUUGAGAACUUCCAUGAUCAUCCAAAGUCUGAAACAAAGUAGGCGGUCAGCCUUUCAAAAUACGUGUUGGAAGAAACAGACACCUUCCCAUCCCCAGCGUUUGUUCAGUGCCUUGGUUGGGCUUUGAUUCUCACUGCUUUGUGAAGUACAGCUUAUUUUUACCCCCAAGAUUAUGAUUUUCAGGCUGUAGUUAUUAUUGGACAACUGAGAGGUGAUUUUGUUGUUGUUGAAAUGAGGGAAAACGGGCCAUUAGAAAGGACCGUGUCUCUUAAGAGGAGGGAAAAAAAGGACAGCGAGUUGGUAAUGGAAUGUUGCUGGAUGGAUUACAUAGAUGAGACAUGGGAGAUAGAAUAGAGAAUCCAGAAAUUCUCAUGUAUGUGUGCGUGUUUAGUAUAAUAACAGUAGCUCACAUUUGCUGAGCAUUUGUGUGGCAAGUACUGGAGUACUUUUUCAGGUUAUCUUAUUUAACUCUAACAUUUCUGUAAGGUAGGUGCAAUUGUUAUCUCCAUUUCACAGAGUUGCCCAAAACCAUUACUUUUAAACGCUGGAGCCAGACAACUCCAGAAAUCUCUGUGGUAGCCAGUAAACUAUACAUGACAAAUUAUUGGUCAGUAGGAAAAAGAUCAUUCGGGAAAUGGCGGUGGCUCACGCCUGUAAUCCCAGCACGCUGGGAGGCCAAGGCAGGUGGAUCACCUGAGGUCAGGAGUUCGAGACGACCCUGGCCAACAUGGUGAAAUCCCAUCUAUUAAAAAUACAAAAAGCCAAGAAAAACAAAUAUUCAAUUAACAAACGGAAAGUUGUCCCACUUCCAAACAGUUGUUUUUUGUCUAUCAUUGUUGAUAGGGGUGUGGGAUACAAUUACUGUCAGGCAUUUUUGGUGUGAAGGUGAAAUUGGUACAACCCUAUUUACCAAAAUUUAACAUAUGCAUUAGCCUUUGCCCCACAGCUGUCUCAUUUCCGAGGCAUAUACCCUAAGGAAAAUAAGGGAUUCAUAAGGAUACUAUUUGCCACCUUUUUUAAAAAUAAUGCUUCUAGAAACAAGUGUCCAUCACUAGGACACUAGUUAAGAAAAUUAUGAUUGGUACAUGCAAUGGAAUACUCUUGACCCAUUAAAAACUGAUGGAAAGUUCUUUAUUUGCAUUAAAGUAUGUCCAAAAAAUAUAGUUUCCCCUCAGGAAAAAAAAAGCAGAAUGUAGUUUAGCAAGUACAGUGCUGUCCUAAUGUGAAUAUAUGUGUGUACAUAUGUUAAUAUAAGUGUACAAAAAUAUCUGGAAGAAGGUCAGUCAAAAUACAAGUGUUUUACAUUUUGUCUUUUGGACUUUUUAUCUGGUUGGUGUUUUUUGUAAUUUAUUAUUUUACAAAAACAAAGUUGUGUUUUAUGUUUUAAUUAAAGCUGUGCCAGUGAAAAGGGAGCCAGUUGACUCUUGACCUUCACAAGUAGGUAACCAUGAUGAAGUAACUAUGUCUGGGGAUCUGAGUCUCAGCUUUUUUGUGUCUAUAAAUUUGAUUAUAUUCAUUUACCUAUAGUUGGACAAGCUAACCUACCACCUGGACAUCAUAGUUUUGACUCCCCAAAUUGGACUGGGUAUCCAUUCUAUGUGUUCUCUGUGUGCCUGUCAUGGUAUUUGUCACACUGUACUGUAAUUCCCUCUGUGCCAGUAGAUUGUUUGCUCCUGCCAUACAUAUACACAUGCACAUACAUACUUUUUCUGCUAUAUGUUACACAUUUCUUUUGAUUUAUUAUUUGUCAUCUACAUUUGUAUACAGAAGUUUUAAUUUUCAUUAGCCAAAAUGCUAAUGAAAUCACAUAGAUAUUAAAGGGAUACUUGGAACAACUUUAUGCCAAUAAAUUCAGUAACUUAAGCAAAAUGGACAAAUUCCUAAAAAAAUAAAUAAAUAAAUUACCAAAAAUGACACAAAAGAAGGAAAAGAAAAUCUAAAUGUUUCAGUGUCUGUUAAAAAAAUUGAAUUUAUAAGCAAAACACUUGCCACAAAGAAAACUCCGGGCAGAUGACUGCACCAGUGAAUUUUAUCAGACAUUUAAGGGGGACA
rnacentral:lncRNA from 1 species